AUUGAACGCUGGCGGCAUGCUUUACACAUGCAAGUCGAACGGUAACAGGCCGCAAGGUGCUGACGAGUGGCGAACGGGUGAGUAAUGCAUCGGAACGUGCCCAGUCGUGGGGGAUAACGCAGCGAAAGCUGCGCUAAUACCGCAUACGAUCUAUGGAUGAAAGCGGGGGACCGUAAGGCCUCGCGCGAUUGGAGCGGCCGAUGUCAGAUUAGGUAGUUGGUGGGGUAAAGGCUCACCAAGCCAACGAUCUGUAGCUGGUCUGAGAGGACGACCAGCCACACUGGGACUGAGACACGGCCCAGACUCCUACGGGAGGCAGCAGUGGGGAAUUUUGGACAAUGGGCGCAAGCCUGAUCCAGCAAUGCCGCGUGCAGGAAGAAGGCCUUCGGGUUGUAAACUGCUUUUGUACGGAACGUAAAGGCUCUGGAUAAUACCUGGGGCUCAUGACGGUACCGUAAGAAUAAGCACCGGCUAACUACGUGCCAGCCGCCGCCGUAAUAC
rnacentral:rRNA from 1 species